rnacentral:rRNA from 1 species
GACGAACGCUGGCGGCGUGCUUAACACAUGCAAGUCGAACGAUGAACCUUCCAUGAUCUAUUCGUAGAGAUUGGAAGCGGAUUAGUGGCGAACGGGUGAGUAACGCGUGAGCAACCUGCCUUAAACAACGGGAUAGCCUCGGGAAACCGGGAUUAAUACCGUAUGAGACCCCGCCUUCCCAUGAAGAAGAGGUUAAAGAUUUAUCGGUUUAAGCUGGGCUCGCGUCUGAUUAGCUAGUUGGUGAGAUAAAAGACCACCAAGCCAACGCUCAGUACCCGGCUUGAGAGAGUGAACGUUCACAUUGGAACUGAGACACGGUCCAAACUCCUACGGGAGGCAGCAGUGGGGAAGAUUGCACAAUGGGGUAAACCCUGAUGCAGCGACGCCGCGUGAGCGAUGAAGGAAUUCGUUUCGUAAAGCUCUGUCCAAGGGGAAGAUAAUGACAGUACCCUUGGAGGAAGCCCCGGCUAAAUACGUGCCAGCCGCCGCAGUAAGAC